rnacentral:rRNA from 1 species
GAUGAACGCUGGCGGCGUGCCUAAUACAUGCAAGUCGAGCGAACGGACGAGAAGCUUGCUUUUCUGAUGUUAGCGGCGGACGGGUGAGUAACACGUGGAUAACCUACCUAUAAGACUGGGAUAACUUCGGGAAACCGGAGCUAAUACCGGAUAAUAUUUUGAACCGCAUGGUUCAAAAGUGAAAGACGGUCUUGCUGUCACUUAUAGAUGGAUCCGCGCUGCAUUAGCUAGUUGGUAAGGUAACGGCUUACCAAGGCAACGAUGCAUAGCCGACCUGAGAGGGUGGUCGGCCACACUGGAGCUGAGACACGGUCCAGGCGCCUACGGGAGGCAGCAGUAGGGAAUCUUCCGCAAUGGGCGAAAGCCUGACGGAGCAACGCCGCGUGAGUGAUGAAGGUCUUCGGAUCGUAAAACUCUGUUAUUAGGGAAGAACACAUGUGUAAGUAACUGUGCACAUCUUGACGGUACCUAAUCAGAAAGCCACGGCUAACUACGUG